rnacentral:piRNA from 1 species
GCAACCAGGUUUCCUGCCAAGGCUCAGC